CAUGGGCGAAGCCUGCUCCAGCGACGCCGCGUGGGGGACGAAGCCCUUCGGGGUGUAAACCCCUGUUGCGAGGGAGGAAUAAGACCUGGAGGAAAUGCCAGGUCGAUGACUGUACCUCGCGAGAAAGCCCCGGCUAACUACGUGCCAGCAGCCGCGGUAAU
rnacentral:rRNA from 1 species